UACGUAGGAGGCGAGCGUUGUCCGGAUUUACUGGGCGUAAAGGGCGUGUAGGCGGUUUGCCAAGUCUCAUGUGAAAUCUCCCGGCUCAACUGGGAGGGGUCAUGGGAAACUGGUAGACUUGAGGUCAGUAGAGGAAAGCGGAAUUCCCGGAGUAGCGGUGAAAUGCGUAGAUACCGGGAGGAACACCAGAGGCGAAAGCGGCUUUCUGGACUGCACCUGACGCUGAGGCGCGAAAGCAUGGGGAGCGAACCGG
rnacentral:misc_RNA from 1 species